CUUACUUUUCAUACUCACAUAGACUUUGUAUAAAAAACAGUUUGCCCGUAAUCUCAAAAGGUACCACCUGUGCAAAGAAUGCAAUGGAAUGCAGUUCGCGGAACACAGAGGUUAUAAGUGGAGGUCACAGUAUGGGUCGAACCAAGUAAUGUGCUGGCCCUC
rnacentral:lncRNA from 1 species